GACGAACGCUGGCGGCGUGCUUAACACAUGCCAGUCGAACGCUGAAGCUCAGCUUUUGUUGGGUGGAUGAGUGGCGAACGGGUGAGUAACACGUGAGUAACCUGCCCCCUUCUUUGGGAUAACGCCCGGAAACGGGUGCUAAUACUGGAUAUUCACUGGUCUUCGCAUGGGGGUUGGUGGAAAGGGUUUUUCUGGUGGGGGAUGGGCUCGCGGCCUAUCAGCUUGUUGGUGGGGUGAUGGCCUACCAAGGCUUUGACGGGUAGCCGGCCUGAGAGGGUGACCGGUCACAUUGGGACUGAGAUACGGCCCAGACUCCUACGGGAGGCAGCAGUGGGGAAUAUUGCACAAUGGGCGCAAGCCUGAUGCAGCGACGCCGCGUGAGGGAUGGAGGCCUUCGGGUUGUGAACCUCUUUCGCUCAUGGUCAAGCCGCAACAAUGGUUGUGGUGAGGGUAGUGGGUAAAGAGGCGCCGGCUAACUACGUG
rnacentral:rRNA from 1 species